CCUACGGGUGGCUGCAGUGGGGAAUAUUGCACAAUGGGGGAAACCCUGAUGCAGCGACGCCGCGUGAAGGAAGAAGGAUUUCGGGAUGGAAAAUCCUAUCAGCAGGGAAGAAAAUGACGGUACCUGACUAAUUAGCCCCGGCUAACUACGUGACAGCAGCCGCGGUAAUACGCAGGGGGCAAGGGUUAUCCGGGGUUUCUGGGUGUAAAGGGAGCGUAGGCGGGGAUGCCAGUCAGAAGGGAAAGCCCGGGGGACAACUCCGUGAGAGCUGUUGAAACUGUGUUGCUAGAGUGCGGGAGAGGUAAGUGGAAUGCGUAGUGUAGCGGUGAAAUGCGUAGAUAGUAGGAAGAACACCAAUGGCGAAGGCAGCUUACUGGACUUUAAAUGACGCUGAGGCUCGAAAGCGUGGGGAGCAAACAGGAUUAGAUACCCUUGUAGUC
rnacentral:rRNA from 1 species